CAUUUCAUUUAGUAUUGUUUAUUCUGUAUUUGCGGUUAGCCACGGUGUCUCUUGCUUUCUGUCUUGAAAAUUAAUUAAGCGUUAGCGUUUACUUACAACGAACUUGUAUCUAUUUGAGGAAACAGGAAGUACGAAUUUUAACAAGAUGUGCAAAUGUUUGGGUCAGAAUAUUGCAUGUUGCUGCUUGAAUUGUGCCUUGGGCGUUCUUUUGUCGAUAAUAAGUACAUUCCUUGUGGUUAUAAUAAUUGUCGGGGUUGUAGUCUACUUUGUAUACUACCAUGACGGGGAUCACAGUGAUGAUCUCAAAGACAACCUAGAAAAGCUAAAAGACGCUGUUGCGGACAAAUACGACGAAGCUUCCAAAUUGCUGAAAAACUAGCGCAACGAUUACGAGAAGAAUCGCUUUUAAGGCUGACACAAAGUUUUCAAUCGCCAUCUCGUUUUUAUCUACGUAUUAAUGUUAAAAUGAAAUUGAAUAUUAUUAUUUUUAUACCAUAUACUUUUAUAUUUUUGCUUAGUACCUACCUAAUGUGUAUGUACAAUUACAAGAAACAAAUAUUCUAUUAAUAUUUAUAUGUUUUCUUACAAAACUCAGUAUAUAAUCUCAUAUGUUAAACUAUAACUAAAGAAAAUGCAUUUAUAUUAUUAAAGUCCUAAAUAAAUUUGAAGUUUUUGCUUUAUAAAGGCGAAGGUAAUUAUUACUGCUUGAAUUGUGCCUUGGGCGUUCUUUUGUCGAUAAUAAGUACAUUCCUUGUGGUUAUAAUAAUUGUCGGGGUUGUAGUCUACUUUGUAUACUACCAUGACGGGGAUCACAGUGAUGAUCUCAAAGACAACCUAGAAAAGCUAAAAGACGCUGUUGCGGACAAAUACGACGAAGCUUCCAAAUUGCUGAAAAACUAGCGCAACGAUUACGAGAAGAAUCGCUUUUAAGGCUGACACAAAGUUUUCAAUCGCCAUCUCGUUUUUAUCUACGUAUUAAUGUUAAAAUGAAAUUGAAUAUUAUUAUUUUUAUACCAUAUACUUUUAUAUUUUUGCUUAGUACCUACCUAAUGUGUAUGUACAAUUACAAGAAACAAAUAUUCUAUUAAUAUUUAUAUGUUUUCUUACAAAACUCAGUAUAUAAUCUCAUAUGUUAAACUAUAACUAAAGAAAAUGCAUUUAUAUUAUUAAAGUCCUAAAUAAAUUUGAAGUUUUUGCUUUAUAAAGGCGAAGGUAA